rnacentral:lncRNA from 1 species
UACCGCGCGGCCCACGCCCUGGCCGGCCGGUCUUGAAAGGGAGUGCGCGCCCGCGCCAACUCGCGCAUGCCCGAGUGAGGGGCUCCGCCCUCUCGAACCGCCCCGCCAAACCGGUUCCAGCUGGAACGCAAUGCGUGGUCUGUACGGGAGUUGGAGUGGCCGUCCGUCCCUGCGGGCUCACCCUGGUGGCGACGCCUCGCUGUAGCAGAUGGUGGCAGAGUGUCAUAAGGGGCAGUGUCCUUUUCUUAACUCGGCACAAAAGUACUACAUGGACCAGCUGCAGCUCUGGCCAGAAGCCUGGCGAUCUGGUGGCUCCGGCUCUCCUAGGUGGCAGGAUCAAGAUGUAAAACUCUCAACUACUUCUGCCACACCAUGCCUACCUGCCUGCUGCCACGCUCCCCACCAUGAUGAUCUUGGACUAAGCCUCUGAAACUAAGCCAGCCUCCAGUUCCAUGCUUUCCUUUAUAAGAGUCACCUUGAGCCAGGUGGGGCCAGUGCUGCACGCCUUUAUUCCUAGCACUCAGAGGCAAAGGCAGGUGGACCUCUGUGAGUUUUGAGGCCAAGAUGGUUUAUAGAGCUAGUUUCAGGACAACCAGGACUACACAAAGAAACCCUGUCUCACCCUCCGAUGGGAAACCAAGAGACUUGAGACAAAAUGAGGUUGUCCUCCCAUCCUUCUGCCACCUCCAUGGGGAAAACAUGGCCUGGCUGGGACACUGGCUCCUGAACAGCUUUUGGGCCCAGGGUAUAGGACACAGUGGGCAAAGGCGGCUGAUCGGCAAGCUCAUACCUAAGUGUUUGCUGUUGUCCCCCACUGAGAUGGUACACAAUGUAGAGUGUGACUGCGUAACGACCAAGAGAUAUCACGUUGGCCCCAGGACCAAGCAGGGAGAGAAAGGAUGAGCAAACUCUUAGAGGAGGAUUGGAAAAGGAGCCUGGAUUCUGCGUGGGUCAGGACUCCCAAGGAAAUCCACCUAGAGUGACUUCCCGUGUGCAGAUAGACUUGGGCAAGGCCUGCCUCCUUUGGAUAAGAGCUUAAAGAGAAAAUGCAAAAGAAACAGCCAACCUGUCAGGGACACUCAGGGGAAAUAGGAAGGGCCCAGAAAUGGCUGAGUUGGAAAAUAAAUCUGUCAGUUU